UGGUAAGAGAGUCUCAAUCACUGUAGGAGUUAGGGGCAGAAGAGGGAAGCAAAAAUGAUUAUUUUGGUAAAGGAUCCCUGGUGAAUUUAAUGUGAAGCAAUGGUUUGAGACAGAUGAGUAAAUGCCUAUUCAGAUCAGGAUAGAGAAAGUCACAUCAGAAAUACAGAACAUUUUCAUCAAAA